UACGUAGGGUGCAAGCGUUAAUCGGAAUUACUGGGCGUAAAGCGUGCGCAGGCGGUUUGUUAAGUCCGUUGUGAAAGCCCCGAGCUCAACUUGGGAAUUGCAGUGGAUACUGGCAGGCUGGAGUACGGUAGAGGAAGGUGGAAUUCCCGGUGUAGCAGUGAAAUGCGUAGAUAUCGGGAGGAACACCAGUGGCGAAGGCGGCCUUCUGGACCAGUACUGACACUGAGAGACGAAAGCCAGGGGAGCAAACGGG
rnacentral:rRNA from 1 species